CUCUCUUCUCGCUGUGAUGCAAACCCAGCCUUGAUGAAGCAAAAGAAGAAUAAAAAUUGGAAACAAAAACUACUCACAGCUGGCGUUGCUUCUCCUUCUUCUUCAUCACAAUAUAGUAGAACUUCUGGAUGUACUCGGCUGGCAAGACUCAAACUCCACGCGAGGAUUCUGGUUUAACCACUCGGCGAUCUCCCACGGGAGUGUCCUCGUCGAGUGAAGCCCAGACGUGCUUCCACUUAUCGUUUCUGCUUGAAACGAGGCUAUCGCCCUGUGACUGCAAGCAAUGGAGUAAGCAAGCUCCUUCAAGCCUAUCUUGGUAGGAAGAACAAACUCACCUCAUCGCCCCGGAUUGGCAUACACGACCACGCGAGGAGCGCUCAAGAUCCUCCUGGCUCACGAACCUGCCGAAUGGGCGCUCACAUGCCGGUUCGUGAGCGGCGCUCCAAUCCACCUGCAUUGGUGCUUCAUCGCCGACGGCUGGCGUUGUCGCUGGAUCCUCCGUGGCGGCCGGAGCUUCUUCUUCCUAUCGCUGGAG
rnacentral:lncRNA from 1 species